UACGUAGGGGGCUAGCGUUGUCCGGAAUCAUUGGGCGUAAAGCGCGUGUAGGCGGUCCGGUAAGUCCGCUGUGAAAGUCGGGGGGCUCAACCCUCGGAUGCCGGUGGAUACUGUCGGGCUUGAGUACGGAAGAGGCGAGUGGAAAUUCCUGGUGUAGCGGUGAAAUGCGCAGAGUAUCGGGAAGGAACACCAAUUGCGAAG
rnacentral:rRNA from 1 species